UUCUGGCAUCGAUGAAGAACGCAGCGAAAUGCGAUAAGUAGUGUGAAUUGCAGAAUUCAGUGAAUCAUCGAAUCUUUGAACGCACAUUGCGCCCUUUGGUAUUCCAAAGGGCAUGCCUGUUCGAGCGUCAUUUGUACCCUCAAGCUUUGCUUGGUGUU
rnacentral:rRNA from 1 species